UACGAAGGGGGCUAGCGUUGUUCGGAAUUACUGGGCGUAAAGGGCGCGUAGGCGGCGUGUUAAGUCAGCUGUGAAAUCUCCGAGCUUAACUCGGAACGGUCAGCUGGUACUGAUGUGCUAGAGUGCAGAAGGGGCAAUCGGAAUUCUUGGUGUAGCGGUGAAAUGCGUAGAUAUCAAGAGGAACACCUGAGGUGAAGACGGGUUGCUGGGCUGACACUGACGCUGAGGCGCGAAAGCCAGGGGAGCAAACGGG
rnacentral:rRNA from 1 species